CAGUCGCCGCGGUAAUACGUAGGUGGCAAGCGUUGUUCGGAAUUAUUGGGCGUAAAGGGCUCGCAGGCGGUUUCUUAAGUCUGAUGUGAAAGCCCCCGGCUCAACCGGGGAGGGUCAUUGGAAACUGGGAAACUUGAGUGCAGAAGAGGAGAGUGGAAUUCCACGUGUAGCGGUGAAAUGCGUAGAGAUGUGGAGGAACACCAGUGGCGAAGGCGACUCUCUGGUCUGUAACUGACGCUGAGGAGCGAAAGCGUGGGGAGCGAACAGGAUUAGAUACCCCAGUAGUCCCUGUCUCUUAUAC
rnacentral:rRNA from 1 species